rnacentral:rRNA from 1 species
UAGACGAUNAAGACCCUAUCAAACUUUACUUUAGUUUAACUGGGGCAGUUAAUUAAUAAAAAUUUUAAUAAAGAUUAAGUACUAAAUAGANNNCCCAACANUAGUUGAUUACANUGAACAAGUUACUGUAGGGAUAACAGCGUAAUAUAUAUCUAAAGUUCUUAUUUUGAUAUAAGUUUGCGACCUCGAUGUUGAAUUNAUAUUACUUUCAAGCGCAAGAGCCUGAAAAGUGGGUCUGUUCGACCCCUAAAUAUAUACAUGAUUUGAGUUCAAAUCGGUGUAAACCAGAUUGGUUUCUAUCUAUUNUUAUUUGUGUCUUAGUACGAAAGGACCUGAAACAAUAUUAUAUAAUNAUUUAUAUGGCAGAAAAAUGCUUUAGAUUUAGGAUCUAAUUAUAAUAGAUUAUCAUACUCUAUUUAACUUGCCUAAUCUCUGUUAUUAGAAUCCUUAUCGCAGUAGCUUUUUAUACCCUCCUAGAACGAAAAAUUCUAAGCUACAUCCAA